CGUUUCCUACGGGAGGCAGCAGUGGGGAAUAUUGCGCAAUGGGGGAAACCCUGAUGCAGCAACGCCGCGUGAGUGAUGACGGCCUUCGGGUUGUAAAGCUCUGUCUUCAGGGACGAUAAUGACGGUACCUGAGGAGGAAGCCACGGCUAACUACGUGCCAGCAGCCGCGGUAAUACGUAGGUGGCGAGCGUUGUCCGGAUUUACUGGGCGUAAAGGUAGCGUAGGCGGAUUUUUAAGUGAGAUGU
rnacentral:rRNA from 1 species